GGCGAACGCUGGCGGCGUGCCUAACACAUGCAAGUCGAACGGGGUGAAGAGCUUCGGCUUUUCACUUAGUGGCGAACGGGUAAGUAACGCGUGAGAAACCUGCCUUUCAGUGGGGGACAACAGUUGGAAACGACUGCUAAUACCGCAUAACGUUAUUUAGGGGCAUCCCUGAAUAACCAAAGCUUUAUGUGCUGAAAGAUGGUCUCGCGUCUGAUUAGCUAGAUGGCGGGGUAACGCCCACCAUGGCGACGAUCAGUAGCCGGUCUGAGAGGAUGAACGGCCACAUUGGGACUGAGAUACGGCCCAGACUCCUACGGGAGGCAGCAGUGGGGAAUAUUGGGCAAUGGGGGAAACCCUGACCCAGCAACGCCGC
rnacentral:rRNA from 1 species